CUGCAGAUAUGGCCAUUCCGAUUAUGAUUCUAGUCCAUUCUAUUAUAAUUUUCAUUCCAAUUCUAAUUCUAAUUGUGAACCAAAUAAGCCCUGACAUUAGGUAGGGGGAGAGGAGCACAAGGGGUCACAUAGCUCAUUCCCCCAUUGCAUUAGAAAAGAAGACCUACAUAGAUGUAACAGGAAAAAGAUGUGGUCCAUCUUGCAUGU
rnacentral:lncRNA from 1 species